UCCCAGGUAGCUCAAACGGUAAAGAAUCUGUCUGCAAUGCAGGAGGCCUGGGUUCGAUCCCUGGGUUGAGAA
rnacentral:tRNA from 1 species